GAUGAACGCUGGCGGCGUGCCUAAUACAUGCAAGUCCAGCGAACAGAUAAGGAGCUUGCUCCUUUGAAGUUAGCGGCGGACGGGUGAGUAACACGUGGGUAACCUACCUAUAAGACUGGGAUAACUUCGGGAAACCGGAGCUAAUACCGGAUAACAUUUAGAACCGCAUGGUUCUAAAGUGAAAGAUGGUUUUGCUAUCACUUAUAGAUGGACCCGCGCCGUAUUAGCUAGUUGGUAAGGUAACGGCUUACCAAGGCGACGAUACGUAGCCGACCUGAGAGGGUGAUCGGCCACACUGGAACUGAGACACGGUCCAGACUCCUACGGGAGGCAGCAGUAGGGAAUCUUCCGCAAUGGGCGAAAGCCUGACGGAGCAACGCCGCGUGAGUGAUGAAGGGUUUCGGCUCGUAAAACUCUGUUAUUAGGGAAGAACAAAUGUGUAAGUAACUGUGCACAUCUUGACGGUACCUAAUCAGAAAGCCACGGCUAACUACGUG
rnacentral:rRNA from 1 species